GUUGGGGUAGUGUGGUGCUAAGGGGUGUUUGACUCCCAGUCAAAAGGUUCUGGGUUCAAUCAGGCAUCCUUGAGCAAGGCGACCCCUGACCUCGACC